AUGUUUGCUUUUACCAAAAGUGCGUUUUUUACAGCUACUGCAGGCAUCGCUUCAGAGUGCCGCAGAACGCUAAAAGGCUCUUGGGGGCUCGGCGGGGCACCACCUCCUCCCACAGGACUACCAGCCCCAGCCGGGGACCGGCUCGAUUCGGUUUUUAUGGCGUCGAGACACCUCUCAACCCCCUCCCUUCCCCUUUCUCCCUUCUCAUCCCAUCUCCCUGACGGCCACCCCUCCGCGCUGGAGGCGGUGCCGUGCGUGGGCAGGGCGGGAGCUGGUAAGGCGGCGCUGGCCGCCAUUUGCCCGCAGUUGCCGGCUCCUCCUGCCCGCCCGCCCACAUGUCAUGGCGGCCCCGGCCCUGACCUUCCUCCGGCGGCUGUGCUGGCGGUCUCUAUGCGAAGCGAGUGGCAUCUUUCAGGUGUGUUAGUUGAAAACCAGAACAAUAAAUAUUGCAAGUACUGAGCAGCUGUGCCUUGGCGGCCUUGCUUUCGGAAAAGAAAGGAGCCACGCAGCAAGGAGGCGCAGAGGCUCUGGUGCAGGCAGUGCCACUGAGCAGUGCUUGUGUAAGCCCCUGCAAGGUGGGUGGCAGAGACUCUCACCACAACUCCAGAAGAAGUCUUUGUUGGUUUAGUUAUUCAUGUAAACACCUUAAAACCUGCACAUAAUUGGAUGUGACUUGAUUCUAAGUGUCCUUCUAAAAGAUUUUGGACUAUUUCCCAGCAAAUAGGUUAUCACAGUGCCAGACAGGCUGUGGAACUAUUUUUCUCAGGAUUAUUUAGUUUGGCUAUGCAGGAGCCCUGGUAACCUCAUCUCAUCUUGAAGCUAUCUCUGCUCUGAGGUCACCUCAGGAGUAUGUGGCUUUCUGAGGCCAGAAGAUGGUGGUGCUCCUCUAGUGGGCCGACCUCCUUUAUGGUCAGGGCUGAGCCUGAGGCUCUGGGCCUCGCUAGGAAAAUCCUGAGGGAAAAGUUUGGAGAAAGAUACGUGAGGGGCGAAAAGGGUGGAUGGAGAGACUGUGGUUGGGUUUGUGUACAGCUGGUGCUCCUCUCCAUAGGGUUUGUGGUCCCUGUGUGUGUGUGUGUACAUACAGACCCACAGGUGCAGGUUGCAUGUAGGUCCAUGGGCCUGUCCAUAGGAGAAAUGACCCCCACACCACACCCAUAUUGCUCAGUGUGUAAGGUAUCGAUGGUGCUGGCCUGAUGUGGGAGGUAGAAGAGGGUUGGAGUAAGUGCAAGGACCCCUAGGGAAGCGCCCCUCAGUCCUUCGCCCUUUGCUUGUUCAGGACUAUUUAGGAGCUCUUUCAGAUAGGAUAUCUCUGUCAUUCACAACACUUCCCUCACUUUGAUGUAUGGGCUGCAAAAUCAUUGUAAAUGAGUUGGCUUUGGGGGAAGAGAUCUUACUGCUCUCCCCAGUGGGGAGCUGGGGAUUGGCCUCUUCUCGCAGAUAACUAGCGAUAGGACUAGAGGAAAUGGCCUGAAGUUGCACCAGGGGAGAUUUAGGUUAGAAAUUAGGAGACAUUUCUUCUCAGGCAUUGGAGUGGGUUACCCAGGGAGGUGGUGGAGACACCAUUGCUGAGGGCCGUUAAGGAAAAGUUGGAUGUGGUGUUUAGGGACCCGAUUUAGUGGGUGACAUUGGUGGUAGGGGGAUGGUUGGACCAAUGAUCUUGGAGGGCUUUUCCAACCUUAAUGAUUCUAUGUCUCUGUGCAGGUUUCUGGGCUGGGAAGCUCAGAUGCACUUUCACCAACAGCAGAGGGUUUUUGUUUGAAAAAUUCAAUGAUGAUUUUGGUGCAAGUGUACGUGCUUUAUGUAGUUAGGUUUUAGGAAUAAGAUGAGGCCAGAUAAGUAAAACUGCUUUUGAAUUUUCAUGUCAGAGUCCUCGUGUAUUGUGAACUGCCACUUCUAGAAUCUGUAGACAGUCUGGAGGAUACAUUUAACAGAUAAGGUUUAAAUACAAAACUGAGAUCUAGACGCCCCUAUGAAACUGCUGCCUAUACGUGGAAGUCUGAACUCUGAGUGUCUCCCAUCAUUGCUUAAAAGCUUGGUGCAGUUCUUCAUCUUCCGUUGCCUGCCAUUUCCUCAGUUCUGGGCAGUCCAUCUCUCACCUGCCAAGGUCAGGUAUUUGGUCCCAUUAAGCUGUGCUGCUUAAUGAACUUGAGUAGUUCUCUCUUUGCCUUGUGUGUACAUGGUUAACACACAAGAUGAGAUGUUUCUUUCAUCGUAAGUCCAGGGAGAUCGCUUUCCUUUAAAAAGGCGGGUGCUUCUGGGUUAGGUGUUUGAACCCAGUGGAAGUGGAAUACCUUCAUUUGAUGCAUUUCUCUUUAAGAGUCUUUGCCCUCAUUUUUCUGUCUCCUGUGGCAAAUGUUCAACCACCAAAGAAACUGCCAGUUAGGCUGGUGGUAAGACAUCUGAAACUGUAUUGUAAUAUGCAGAAUAAUGAACGAUUCUGUGUUUUUUUAUUAAAAACGAGCACAAUUGUGUGUCCGACUAAUUAAGGCUCCCUGCUGAGAACACUCCAGCUUAGCACAGCUUUUCAAAUACUGAUGUAAUGUUGCCUGCUGUGUGCCUUUAUUACUUAUCUCUUUUACUUGUUUCCAAAUAAAGUGUCACAUGCAGUAGUAUGCAUUGCGGCAGCUGUGCAUCUCUGGUGUUAGUUGGCCUGCAUGAAGCAGAACUUGGCUUGACUUGUAAGUAGACAAUUGACACUUUCAUUUUACUGAAAAUGGUUAAAUGGGAAAUCCCACUGUUAAAUUGCUGUAUAUGAAUAAGAAUCGCAAACAAAGUUAAUUUGUAGAAUUUUGUCUUCCUAUUAAAAAUGGCUUAAUAAAUACCCAGUUAAAGAGAAGUAUGCAUUUGGUGUGUUAAGUAUACUGGGUAAGAGAGUUCGGAAGUAAGAGACUGAAGUAAUGUGAUCAUAACAGUAGGUUAAAUACCAGCAAUGCAAUGUUUGCUGCAACAUAUAAAUUCAACUUUUAUAAUGCGUGUUUUCAUGAGUGGAAUGCUUUUACUCGUUUUUACCUAGGUAUCCUUUUACCUAGGCAUCUCAGUUAUGAAUGAGUGCAUCUUGACCAGGAAACUAGUCGUUUAUGCAGUCUGGCCAUUGAAUUGUGAUAUUUUUCUCCCCAAAGCUUUGUGAGAAAUUCUUUGAAGUAUGUACGUGAACAUCUUAAGAUACAGGGAGAAACAAAGAGAAUGCAAAUUGUGCAAGCGACAUGACUUCACUUUCAUUAAAAAAAAAAAUAAAUAAAUAAAAAUCAACUCUCUAGGCAUUUUUUUUUUCUACAGACAAAUAAUGUUAAUAUAGCUGAGUUGUUACAGUGAGAGAGAGGGAAAGAAAUUCUAAAUUGUAAAACAAAAAUGUGGACNNNNNNNNNNGCAUUAAAAAAAAAAAUAAAAAUCAACUCUUUAGGCAUUUUUUUCUACAGACAAAUAAUGUUAAUACAGCUGAGUUGUUACAGUGAGAGAGAGGGAAAGAAAUUCUAAAUUGUAAAACAAAAAUGUGGACUACUAGAUGUUUUUAGGCUAGUAUUUGAAGUAGCAAGAUUCUGUGUGUGAAAUAAUGUCAUAUAAUUAAAUAUUAAUAAUGAUUUAAUGCUUUUGGUAAUACAGAAAAAAGGUGCAGUAUGUCACAAACACCAGAUGGGCAUACUGGAAGAAUUAUAUCAAAGACAUUUACAGCCUUGCCAUGCCAGUGAAUCUAGGAAACCCUUUUUGCAACCCUUUAGCGAUUCUAUAAAAACAAGGCAUAUCCUUGGAGCACUGGGAGAGGAACAGUCAUACAAAUAUAAGGACAAAAUGCAAGAUUUUUUCUUAAAUUCUUAUUUCUUUAUUCUAACAAGGGCAUUUUUCAUUGUUCCAGAUGCAGAGUUGUGUGUUCCGUA
rnacentral:lncRNA from 1 species